rnacentral:rRNA from 1 species
UACGAAGGGGGCAAGCGUUGUUCGGAAUUACUGGGCGUAAAGGGCGCGUAGGCGGUGCACUAAGUCAGGCGUGAAAGCCCUGGGCUCAACCCGGGAAUUGCGCUUGAUACUGGUGCGCUUGAAUCCAGGAGAGGUUGGUGGAAUUCCCAGUGUAGAGGUGAAAUUCGUAGAGAUUGGGAAGAACACCGGGUGGGCGAAAG